ensembl:lncRNA
GUUCAGAGUUAUCUCGUUUUUAAUAAUGUUCUCAAAAAAAGAAAAAAGAAAAGAAAAAAAGGAAACUUUUUAUUUCUAAAAUUUUAUUUGGACGUUUGUCUAACAUUUUUAAACUGUUACUGUGUUUUUCAGAACGUUCACAGAACACUAAAAGGAUAGUUCACCCAAAAAGGAAAAUUAUAUAAUUUCCUCACUAUUUCCUCGACCAAACUGUUGACGGUAGCCAUUGACUUUCAUAGUGUGGAAAACAAUGCUAUGAAAGUAAAUGGCUACCGUCAACAGUUUGGCUACCGACAUUCUUCAGAAUAUCUUCUUAUGUGUUCAACAGAAGCAAUCAAUUCAGGUUUGGAACAAGUGGAGGGUGAUUAAAUGGUGACAGAUUUUUCAUUUUUGGGUGAACUGUCCCUUUAAAAAGUAACAUUCCAUAUUGAUUGCAAAACAAUAAAAAGGAAUGUUCCCUUAACUAAAUAUAAAAUUUGUAAACAUUUAAAAACUGCACUUCAGAGAACAUUCAGAAAUAAGGUAUUUAUAACUUAAUGGGAAAAUCCUUAAAAGUGAGCUGGGAUCGUCCCACGCAUGCAGCGUUUCUCAUCACCUCGUGUUGAUUCAGUAAAUACAUUUCAUUUUUCAGUAUCAAUUACCCAUAAACAUUUUAUAUUAUACAAAUCAUACAAAAAAAAUAAUUUGGAUGAAUCAAUAAAAUUUGAAAAUUGUAUGCUAUUAGUACACAAACUUGUGCAUUAAUAAUACUGUAAGCUUGUGUCAGAAAACUUUAUAAUGCAUUUACUAGCUUUUGAUUUAUUUCAUGGUCUAUAAAAGUUCAUUUUUCAGUAUGAAUUACCCAUAAACAUUUUAUAGCAUAUAAGAAAAGCAUCUAUAUAGAAAGUUAAAUAAUGUAUAUUGUAAUAAUUCAUUAUAUUUAGUUUUUUUUUAAUUCAAGUCCACUAUUUUGUAGUAUUUUUUUUAUUUUUUAUUUUAAAUAUUAUAAAAAAAUAACAAAUGAUAGAUAGAUAGAUAGAUAGAUAGAUAGAUAGAUAGAUAGAUAGAUAGAUAGAUAGAUAGAUUCAGUGAAGUGAUUUAUUUAAAAAAUCAGAGAAUAAAGAAUUUGAUACUUUCUAUAAUGUUACAAAUAUACAUAAUAACUUAAGUAAUAUUUUAAAAUGCGAAAUACUACAAAACACUAUAAAAUACUGGACUAUAUUUUAUAACUAUAUAUAAAUAUAAAUGAAAUAUUACAAUAAAUUUAAUCUAAGUUUUUUUUUUUUUUUUUAAUUGUAUGAUAUAAAAUGCUUUCAUUGUCCAUAAAAUAAAUCAAAGCCAGUUUACACACUAUAAAUGUUUCUGACACAAGCUUAUUAUUAGUGCACAAGGUUGUAGCUCAUGUCAAACAAUUUUCACACUUUAUUAGUAGAUCUAAAAAGAUUGGCUGUUAGAAAAAUUAAAAAGGUAGUAACACUUUACAACAAGGUUGCAUUUGUUAACAUUAAAUAAAUUAUAAUAAAAAAUAUUAAAAAGUAUAAUCUUAGUAGAUGUUGAUUCCAGCAUUCACUAAUACAUUAUUAAAAUCAAAAGUUGUAUCUUUUAAUGUUAUUUAAUGAACCUGAGCUAACAUGGAUUAACAAUGAACAGCUGUAUUUUAACGUUAAACGUUAACAAAGAUAAAUAAAUACUGUAACAGU